UUACGGUCACAUCAUGUAGAAACACUAGUUUCCGUAAGAUCACCGAAGUAAAGCAACAUUGUGCCUGGUCAGUACCUAGAUGGGUGACCACUUGGAAUACAAGAUGCUGUAA